CACGUAGGGGGCAAGCGUUGUCCGGAUUUAUUGGGCGUAAAGAGCUCGUAGGUGGUUCGGUAAGUCGGGUGUGAAAACUCUGGGCUCAACUCAGAGACGCCACCCGAUACUGCUGUGACUUGAGUCUGGUAGGGGAGUGUGGAAUUCCCAGUGUAGCGGUGAAAUGCGCAGAUAUUGGGAGGAACACCAGUGGCGAAGGCGGCGCUCUGGGCCAGUACUGACACUGAGGAGCGAAAGCGUGGGUAGCGAACAGG
rnacentral:rRNA from 1 species